CCCGCUGAAUUCCUCCUGUAGAUUGUUCGCUACUGCCAAUCCAAAGAAUUUCAUUAACUUUAACAAGAUUUUUCUCUGAGUACUGCAAUUAAUAUUUCUUUCGGAGUGAGGUUAUAGAGCAAAGGUCAGAGCUGCUGGGGUAGGGGUGAAGAUAUUCUCUUCCCUAUUGCUGGACACAAACAGUUAACCUGAAGUAGAUGUCGUUGAAUUGUUUGGAAUGUUCCUGUGUACGGGGACAAUUGAUGGAAACGCCGACUGUGAAGCAAGUGGAUCAUUAGAGGCCUCGCUUUAAAUAAAAAGCCCGCAGGCACAGAGCCCAACGUGUAAAUCGAUAGACGGCUGGGUCGGAGAAAUGACACAGUCGAUGACCAGUGAAGGAGCGAGGGAGGAAGUGAUACACAAUCCUCAGACCCAACCUCAGCCAAGACCGGGCUGGAGAGACAGAAGCUGGGAGCUGGGAAAUGUCAGCGCAUCGCGGAGAAUAUUUUUAGCAGCUCCUGAGAUAUAAUUAUGUGAUGUCACGCCAGUGAUAUCUUCAGAAACCUCGAGCGGCGGCACAAGGCAUCCUCAGACAUGGUGCCGGCUCGCAGAUGCAGAGUCGGAGCGAGUGGAACUUGGUGCCCAGAGUGGAUGCAACAAAUACUUUCCAGAUGCAGACUGAACUGGUAUGUCACCAGUGAAGGCCAUGUAAUAAUUCUGCUGAAUUCCAUGAAGCUGUCCUGGGACUGUGAGUCUUCUAACACAAGUGAUUCAGGAAAAUGAGAUACUGAAAAAAUAAAAGAAACAUAAUCAGUGGUCAAAUGUACGUCAGUAUCUCACUGUUACUCACAUACAACAUAGUCCAUUUGAUUGUGGUUUACCACAAAGGGUUAAUAAAAUCCCAGCCAUGCACUGCACACACCACCAACACAUAUUCGAAAACAGCAUCUGUCUUACUGAUUCAGAUCACCCACCCACUUCCCACCCGGGCAUGGCUCGCUCCACAAACACAAAGCUGAAAUCCUUCACAGUGUAUCUCAGCCUUUAAAUGAAAGCAAAUCUUUUGUUUUUAGCUUGUAUAUAAUUAACAAUAAACAUUGUUCUCUUCACUGGGAUUCCCACCGCUCAGAUAUUUGCUGCU